UUAGGAAUAUUGGACAAUGGGCGCAAGCCUGAUCCAGCCAUGCCGCGUGAGUGAUGAAGGCCUUCGGGUUGUAAAACUCUUUAGCCGAUGAUUAUAAUGACUGUAGUCGGAAAAUAAGCCCCGGCUAACUUCGUGCCAGCAGCCGCGGUAAUACGAAGGGGGCGAGCGUUAUUCGGAAUCACUGGGCGUAAAGCGUGCGUAGGCGGUUUAGUAAGUUAGGAGUGAAAGCCCAGGGCUUAACCUUGGAAUUGCUCUUAAAACUACUAGACUUGAAUCUCGGAGAGGAUAGCGGAAUUUCCAGUGUAGCAGUGAAAUGCGUAGAUAUUGGAAGGAACACCAGUGGCGUAAGCGGCUAUCUGGACGAGUAUUGACGCUGAGGCACGAAAAGCGUGGGGAUCAAAACAGGAUUAGAUACCCUGGUAGUCCACGCCGUAAAACGAUGUGCGCUUGUCGCUGGGGAGUUCACUCUUCGGUGACGCAGCUAACGCGUUAAGCACACCGCCUGGGAAGUACGGCCGCAAGGUUAAAAACUUAAAAUGAAUUGACGGGGGUCAUAGCUGUUUCCUG
rnacentral:rRNA from 1 species